rnacentral:rRNA from 1 species
UACGUAGGUGGCAAGCGUUGUCCGGAAUUAUUGGGCGUAAAGCGCGCGCAGGCGGUCCUUUAAGUCUGAUGUGAAAGCCCACGGCUCAACCGUGGAGGGUCAUUGGAAACUGGAGGACUUGAGUACAGAAGAGGAAAGCGGAAUUCCACGUGUAGCGGUGAAAUGCGUAGAGAUGUGGAGGAACACCAGUGGCGAAGGCGGCUUUCUGGUCUGUAACUGACGCUGAGGUGCGAAAGCAUAGGGAGCAAACAGG